GGGUCCAUAGUUCAGUGGUAGAACAUUCGGCUGCAACCCGAUACGUCGCAGGUUCAAUCCCUGCUGGGCCCU
rfam:Nosema bombycis CQ1 unplaced genomic scaffold NBO_582, whole genome shotgun sequence.